rnacentral:rRNA from 1 species
UACGAAGGGUGCAACCGUUGCUCGGAAUUAUUGGGCGUAAAGCGCGCGUAGGCGGUUACUUAAGUCGGAUGUGAAAGCCCUCGGCUUAACUGAGGAAGUGCACCCGAAACUGAGUAGCUGGAGUACGAAAGAGGGUCGCGGAAUUCCCGGUGUAGAGGUGAAAUUCGUAGAUAUCGGGAGGAACACCGGUGGCGAAGGCGGCGACCUGGGUCGAGACUGACGCUGAGGCGCGAAAGCGUGGGGAGCAAACAGG